ensembl:lncRNA novel transcript
AGGUAUGUCACAAGAAGCCCUCCAGGCAGCGAGUCACUUAGCACUGCACAGGUAGCAACUUUCUAAAAUAUUUUACCUUUAGUAUUGUCAUUUCAUAUUUCUGUCUUUCUCUUACUUUAGUGUACUAUUUUAUGGUGUCUUAAACCAUCACGCAAUUCCACGGGUAUGCAGCACAAAGAAUUGAGAAGUAAUUCCGAUAAGAGCAGGGGAAUAGUAAUUGAAACUGACACCCAUGUGACACUUUACAGUUUACAAAGUGCAUGGGUCGCAAUUCCAGAGUCUUCAGCUUUGGAGGAGACUGAGGUGCGGGACAUGGAAAAGAAGGUCAUUCUCUUGGAGCCCCAACAAUGACCAGGAGAAAUUCAUUUGGCGGUAAAACCACACGAACCCUAUUACAUCACCAAGCCCUCACCGUUUCCAGCACCCAGGGUCUCUACAAAGAGGCAAGCUGGGACUGAAAUCUCUCCCGAGUGUGGAAGACGGACGGGAGCAGCAGCCGGACAGCACAGCUCAAGGCCGAGAGGCUCACUGGGUGACUCGGGCCGCU